GCAAGACCAAAGAGGGGGACCUUCGGGCCUCUUGCCAUCGGAUGUGCCCAGAUGGGAUUAGCUAGUAGGUGGGGUAACGGCUCACCUAGGCGACGAUCCCUAGCUGGUCUGAGAGGAUGACCAGCCACACUGGAACUGAGACACGGUCCAGACUCCUACGGGAGGCAGCAGUGGGGAAUAUUGCACAAUGGGCGCAAGCCUGAUGCAGCCAUGCCGCGUGUAUGAAGAAGGCCUUCGGGUUGUAAAGUACUUUCAGCGGGGAGGAAGGGAGUAAAGUUAAUACCUUUGCUCAUUGACGUUACCCGCAGAAGAAGCACCGGCUAACUCCGUGCCAGCAGCCGCGGUAAUACGGAGGGUGCAAGCGUUAAUCGGAAUUACUGGGCGUAAAGCGCACGCAGGCGGUUUGUUAAGUCAGAUGUGAAAUCCCCGGGCUCAACCUGGGAACUGCAUCUGAUACUGGCAAGCUUGAGUCUCGUAGAGGGGGGUAGAAUUCCAGGUGUAGCGGUGAAAUGCGUAGAGAUCUGGAGGAAUACCGGUGGCGAAGGCGGCCCCCUGGACGAAGACUGACGCUCAGGUGCGAAAGCGUGGGGAGCAACAGGAUUAGAUACUCUGGUAGUCCACGCCGUAACGAUGUCGACUUGGAGGUUGUGCCAUGAGGCGUGCUUNCGGAGCUCACGCGUAAAGUCGAUCAGCCUNNNGA
rnacentral:rRNA from 1 species